rnacentral:lncRNA from 1 species
CAGAGCUGCCACAACCCAUCUUCCCACAACUCGGAACUUGGAAAAAGGAACCCAGGACACGACUUUGCUUUUCUUUUGGACCUAGUUGAUACAAGUUAACAGGAUAUGCUUCUGGCGUGUUUCUGGAUUCUAAGGGUAGAACCAGCAUGAAACUAGUCAGUCCAAGUAUUUCUAAAGAUCCACAGACACAGUUCUCCUAGAUUUGGGAAGCCUAGAGAUAUUAGCACAAUAAUUAUGGCCCAACAACUUUUAAAAGCAUUUCCAUUGCACAGUGAAAGAAAACCACAAACUCCUUGUUUAAUAACUCGGAUCAUGUGCUUUUAACGAGAGGAAAAGGUCAAGUCUGAAGCAACUGAUAUGGAACUGCCAGAGUAGGAGUUGAAAAUAUUCCUAAACUGCUGGAGGAUACACCUCUGAUAGCUUGAGACAAAUAUCCUCUUGAUUAUUGUUUCACCAUAUUUGUCUUUGCUCACAGAGAACCAUUUUGACCUGUGGUUUAGCCUCCCAGGUGAUUGAACAAUAGCGGUGAUCUGAGGCAGACCCUCUGUGACGGAUAACAGGAAAGAAUAUUGAUUGAACAUCUACUCAAGAACUGCAAAACAGAGAUUACCUGACCUAAAGCAUUUAUAUUGCCAAUCAUGUUGGAGAGUCCAUGUGGUGAUUUCUGAAAAUGAGAUGUGAGAAAGAAGAGGAUAAUUUAAGUCUAGACCUACAGAUUGUGCUGAUAAAGUGAUGAAGAGCUACAAUCUUCUGAGUCAUUUCAUUGUA